AGAGUUUGAUCCUGGCUCAGGAUGAACGCUAGCGAUAGGCUUAACACAUGCAAGUCGAGGGGCAGCAUGGUCUUAGCUUGCUAAGACUGAUGGCGACCGGCGCACGGGUGCGUAACGCGUAUGCAACUUGCCUCACAGAGGGGGAUAACCCGUCGAAAGACGGACUAAUACCGCGUACACUUGGGUUGGGGCAUCCCGAUCCAAGGAAAUGAAAUUCGCUGUGAGAUAGGCAUGCGUCCCAUUAGCUAGUUGGUGAGGUAACGGCUCACCAAGGCAACGAUGGGUAGGGGAACUGAGAGGUUGAACCCCCACACUGGUACUGAGACACGGACCAGACUCCUACGGGAGGCAGCAGUGAGGAAUAUUGGUCAAUGGGCGAGAGCCUGAACCAGCCAAGUCGCGUGAAGGAUGACUGUCUUAUGGAUUGUAAACUUCUUUUGUAGGGGAAUAAAGAGGGGCACGUGUGCCUCAGUGAAUGUACCCUACGAAUAAGCAUCGGCUAACUCCGUGCCAGCAGCCGCGGUAAUACGGAGGAUGCGAGCGUUAUCCGGAUUUAUUGGGUUUAAAGGGUGCGUAGGCGGCCUGUUAAGUCAGCGGUGAAAUCUAGGAGCUUAACUCCUAAAUUGCCAUUGAUACUGGCGGGCUUGAGUGUAGAUGAGGUAGGCGGAAUGCGUGGUGUAGCGGUGGAAUGCAUAGAUAUCACGCAGAACUCCGAUUGCGAAGGCAGCUUACUAAGGUACAACUGACGCUGAAGCACGAAAGCGUGGGUAUCAAACAGGAUUAGAUACCCUGGUAGUCCGCACAGUAAACGCUGGAUGCCCGUUGUUAGUUCACUUAUGAAUUAGCGACCAAGCGAAAGCAUUAAGCAUCCCACCUGGGGAGUACGCCGGCAACGGUGAAACUCAAAGGAAUUGAC
rnacentral:rRNA from 1 species